rnacentral:rRNA from 1 species
CAGUCGCCACGGGAAUACGAAGGGGGCUAGCGUUGUUCGGAUUUACUGGGCGUAAAGGGCGCGUAGGCGGGCGAUUUAGUCAGAGGUGAAAUCCCAAGGCUCAACCUUGGAACUGCCUUUGAUACUGAUCGUCUUGAGUUCGAGAGAGGUAAGUGGAACUGCGAGUGUAGAGGUGAAAUUCGUAGAUAUUCGCAAGAACACCAGUGGCGAAGGCGGCUUACUGGCUCGAUACUGACGCUGAGGCGCGAAAGCGUGGGGAGCAAACAGGAUUAGAUACCCGCGUAGUCCCUGUCUCUUAUAC